UCUGUUUGAUCCCGCCAGAGGCCACUGCUAUCGGAGUUCGAUUAAGCCAUGCGAGUCGAGAGGUGUAAGACCUCGGCAUACUGCUCAGUAACACGUGGACAACCUACCCUGAAGAGGGGGAUAACCCCGGGAAACUGGGGAUAAUACCCCAUAGGCUAUGGAUGCUGGAAUGCUCUGUAGUUGAAAGGUCCGCCGCUUCAGGAUGGGUCUGCGGCCGAUUAGGUUGUUGUUGGGGUAACGGCCCAACAAGCCUGUAAUCGGUACGGGUUGUGGGAGCAAGAGCCCGGAGAUGGAUUCUGAGACACGAAUCCAGGCCCUACGGGGCGCAGCAGGCGCGAAAACUUUACAAUGCGAGCAAUCGUGAUAAGGGAACUCCGAGUGCCCGUAAAAUCGGGCUGUCCGCCAGUGUAAAUAACUGGUGAAGAAAGGGCCGGGCAAGACCGGUGCCAGCCGCCGCGGUAAUACCGGCGGCUCGAGUGGUGGCCACUAUUACUGGGCUUAAAGCGUUCGUAGCUGGUCUGUUAAGUCUCUGGGGAAAUCUUCCGGCUUAACCGGAAGGCGUCUCAGGGAUACUGGCAGACUAGGGACCGGAAGAGGUGAGAGGUACUCCAGGGGUAGGAGUGAAAUCCUGUAAUCCUUGGGGGACCACCUGUGGCGAAGGCGUCUCACCAGGACGGCUCCGACAGUGAGGAACGAAAGCUGGGGGAGCAAACCGGAUUAGAUACCCGGGUAGUCCCAGCUGUAAACGAUGCGCGUUAGGUGUAUCGGUGACCACGAGUCACCGAGGUGCCGAAGAGAAAUCGUGAAACGCGCCGCCUGGGAAGUACGGUCGCAAGGCUGAAACUUAAAGGAAUUGGCGGGGGAGCACCACAACGGGUGGAGCCUGCGGUUUAAUCGGACUCAACGCCGGGAAACUCACCGGACAAGACAGCUGAAUGAUAGUCGGGCUGAAGACUCUACUUGACUAGCUGAGAGGAGGUGCAUGGCCGUCGUCAGUUCGUACUGUGAAGCAUCCUGUUAAGUCAGGCAACGAGCGAGACCCA
rnacentral:rRNA from 1 species